rnacentral:ncRNA from 1 species
AAGGCACCCCGAGGAAACCCCCGUGUCCUCGAUGGGAGCCAGUCCCGUAAACGGCACGGGGAG